GUUUUCGCAGUCGAUUCGAGCAGCUCGUCGCUCGUGGAUACUCUCAACUGCCAGUAAUUCAGCCAGUGUUAUGUGGAGUAAGUGGUGGAAUAGAAAUUUGAUAUGUGAUUCGAGCAUCUCGUCGCUUUGGAUACUCUCAACUACCAGCAAUUCAGCCAGUGUUAUGAGUGGAAAAGUGAUAUGUGAUUCGAGCAGCUCGUCGCUUUGGAUAUUCCCAACUACCAGCAAUCCAGGCAGUAAAAAGUGGUGGAAUAUAAAUGUGAUAUGUGAUUCGAGCACACAUCGUAAUGGAUAAUCUGAAUUGCACGCAUUUCAGGCGGUGGUGUGUGGGAUAUACGUGUGACAAGCUAUAGGAGUCAAGCUAGUGAUUGUGCAUUGAAAAUUGAAUAAGGUUGAGUACGAUAUACAGUCCGUAAACAGGGUUAUAACAGGGUUAUAGUGUGUGAAUCCAAGAGUGAAGCCAGUUUACAAGGUGUUCUUCAGAUAAGGCUUCUGAGUGCAAUUACUGGAUUGGAUUUUAGUGAUUUUAGUUCUCUUGUAAACGGUUCAUGAAGUAUUACGUGCAGUUAUUGAAUUCGUAUGUCACGCCAUCUUAUUAGUAUCAAUCAUGUAAGAUAUGAAGUACUGGUUUCAACAUUGGAUAUAAUAAUUGGAAGUGAAGACAGUGUUAAACGGUUCCUAAUAUGAAGUUUUUAAGUUCAGUUAUUGGUUCUGAAUAUUUCUCACUGGUUUCAAAAAAUCCAGUUUAAACUGAGAUUGAGAUAUGAUUAUUCCAUAUAGAAACUCAUCAAGUUGGAUGAGUAAACCAAACUAGUAUAUUAGUAGUUGGGAAGGUAUCAAGUAGAAACUCAGUGAUGUGAUCCUGAAUGGCACAGCUAGUGAUUUGGAAAUGACCGAUCCUACGACCUCUGGUCCAUCAACAUACUACUGUAGCGCUCCCACAGAAUCGACGGAAAACAGGUGGCACUGGUGAACGCAGAGAAUUUCAAAAUUACACAGAGGAUUUUCAUCACUCCACACUUCCUGGAAUUACCUCCACAACAACUCAGAAAGUUACAUGGAGAAUUUUACAAUUUUUACGCAGAAAUAUUGAAGGGUUGUGAUGUAAAGUGACAGACCUCAACAUCUGAUAGUACUAGAG